GAUUGAAGUAUCCGUGAAAUUUGAUUGUUAUACAAGAUUGGUUUGUGGCUUCGUGGUACUGGGUUUCCUUUCAAUGAAAUUGAUGUGGAUUUACAGCUGAUAGUAUUAGAAAAAUGCGAUGGUGGUGGGUGGUGUUUUUCAGCGACUCCAACUGUGAUGUUAAUUGGCGGCUGUCUCUGAGCCGCUACUCAUGCUAAUUUGUGUGGUUUUAGGGAACUAUUUGUGAAGGAAA
rnacentral:misc_RNA from 1 species